CAUGGGCAAGGUCGGAGCGAACAGAAGGGAGCUUGCUCCCGGAUGUUAGCGGCGGACGGGUGAGUAACACGUGGGUAACCUGCCUGUAAGACUGGGAUAACUCCGGGAAACCGGAGCUAAUACCGGAUAGUUCCUUGAACCGCAUGGUUCAAGGAUGAAAGACGGUUUCGGCUGUCACUUACAGAUGGACCCGCGGCGCAUUAGCUAGUUGGUGGGGUAAUGGCUCACCAAGGCGACGAUGCGUAGCCGACCUGAGAGGGUGAUCGGCCACACUGGGACUGAGACACGGCCCAGACUCCUACGGGAGGCAGCAGUAGGGAAUCUUCCGCAAUGGACGAAAGUCUGACGGAGCAACGCCGCGUGAGUGAUGAAGGUUUUCGGAUCGUAAAGCUCUGUUGUUAGGGAAGAACAAGUGCGAGAGUAACUGCUCGCACCUUGACGGUACCUAACCAGAAAGCCACGGCUAACUACGUGCCAGCAGCCGCGGUAAUACGUAGGUGGCAAGCGUUGUCCGGAAUUAUUGGGCGUAAAGGGCUCGCAGGCGGUUUCUUAAGUCUGAUGUGAAAGCCCCCGGCUCAACCGGGGAGGGUCAUUGGAAACUGGGAAACUUGAGUGCAGAAGAGGAGAGUGGAAUUCCACGUGUAGCGGUGAAAUGCGUAGAGAUGUGGAGGAACACCAGUGGCGAAGGCGACUCUCUGGUCUGUAACUGACGCUGAGGAGCGAAAGCGUGGGGAGCGAACAGGAUUAGAUACCCUGGUAGUCCACGCCGUAAACGAUGAGUGCUAAGUGUUAGGGGGUUUCCGCCCCUUAGUGCUGCAGCUAACGCAUUAAGCACUCCGCCUGGGGAGUACGGUCGCAAGACUGAAACUCAAAGGAAUUGACGGGGGCCCGCACAAGCGGUGGAGCAUGUGGUUUAAUUCGAAGCAACGCGAAGAACCUUACCAGGUCUUGACAUCCUCUGACAACCCUAGAGAUAGGGCUUUCCCUUCGGGGACAGAGUGACAGGUGGUGCAUGGUUGUCGUCAGCUCGUGUCGUGAGAUGUUGGGUUAAGUCCCGCAACGAGCGCAACCCUUGAUCUUAGUUGCCAGCAUUUAGUUGGGCACUCUAAGGUGACUGCCGGUGACAAACCGGAGGAAGGUGGGGAUGACGUCAAAUCAUCAUGCCCCUUAUGACCUGGGCUACACACGUGCUACAAUGGACAGAACAAAGGGCUGCGAGACCGCAAGGUUUAGCCAAUCCCAUAAAUCUGUUCUCAGUUCGGAUCGCAGUCUGCAACUCGACUGCGUGAAGCGGAAUCGCUAGUAAUCGCGGAUCAGCAUGCCGCGAAUUGGGAC
rnacentral:rRNA from 1 species